UACGGAGGGUGCGAGCGUUGUCCGGAAUCAUUGGGCGUAAAGGGCGCGUAGGUGGCGGCUUAAGGCGUGCGGUGAAAGCGUCGGGGCUCAACCCCGAGUCGGCCGUGCGAACUGAGUCGCUUGAGCACUGUAGAGGCAGGCGGAAUUCCGGGUGUAGCGGUGGAAUGCGUAGAGAUCCGGAAGAACACCGGUGGCGAAGGCGGCC
rnacentral:rRNA from 1 species